AUGCAAGUCGAACGGGAUCCGGACUUCGGUUCGGUGAGAGUGGCGGACGGGUGAGUAACGCGUGGGAACCUGCCCAGUGGUGGGGGAUAACUGCGGGAAACUGCAGCUAAUACCGCAUGAGCCCGAGAGGGGAAAGAUUUAUCGCCAUUGGAGGGGCCCGCGUUCGAUUAGGUAGUUGGUGAGGUAAUGGCUCACCAAGCCUUCGAUCGAUAGCUGGUCUGAGAGGAUGAUCAGCCACACUGGGACUGAGAUACGGCCCAGACUCCUACGGGAGGCAGCAGUGGGGAAUAUUGGACAAUGGGGGCAACCCUGAUCCAGCAAUGCCGCGUGAGUGAUGAAGGCCUUCGGGUUGUAAAGCUCUUUCACCGGAGAAGAUAAUAACGGUAUCCGGAGAAGAAGCCCCGGCUAACUUCGUGCCAGCAGCCGCGGUAAU
rnacentral:rRNA from 1 species